UUUUAUGGGUUCACAGUAUUAUUACAUUCCACAAUAUCCUCUUGGGAUACUUCCCGAAAUGAAGAUCGAAGCGUCCUGCGUAAUGCGCAAGAUCUCGAAGAACACAAAACGUGCUUACCUCCGAUGUUCUAACUUCAGUGUCCUUACCCCCCUUUCCUUACCACCUCCUAGCCCUGUUUCACCAAAACUACCUCAUCGGUACUUACGUGAAAUCUCCGAGCAGGAGGAACCUUUUCAAGUUAUUGCUCACAUUGAGUGCAUUCAGAAAGUUAUUCUGAAAAGCAUUUGCAUUGCUUGUAAAUCAGAAAUGGUGGAAGGGAGCUGCAGCUAUGUUGGAUGUUCGUCACCAGAGGGAGGGGUGCUGAGCGUCUAUGUCGAAGUUAUUAUAGAUGAUGGCAGCGAGACUGCCCAGAUAUUUAUGGAUUCUCCAAAUAAUCUGCGGUUACUGUUACAGUUAACAGAUGAAGAUUAUAGUCAGUUUAAGCAGCAAAGUUACAGAGAGUGGCAAAAAGCUCUCCUUUAACCGCGCACAGUACUUGAAGGGGAAUUCUGGUCAUGUCAUCAGUGACGAGGCCUUUGGAUUCUUGUGUUCUCAUGAUAGUCACUGUCGACCAAUGAGACUAGAGUGUAGGAAGUUCAAGACCAAUAAUCCUGAAGGUGUUCUUUUGUAUUGUAUCAAUGCAUUUGAAUUGGAUCCAGAAAAUGAUAUAAAGAUUUGGCAGUCAAAGCAAAGUUUAUCAUGAAGAAACUGGAGCAUGUGGGCUAGUUAGCUUGAAUGUAUACUCUAUUUAAGAUUGUAGUUUUUAGUAGACAUAUGAAAAUUCAUAUGUGCAGUGGUGCAAUGCCAUUAUAGUUUACAAAAUUAAAUGAUAUAAAAGACAUUUAUUUAUUUAUGGAAAGCUUCAGUACAAAUCUAUUCAUUAUAACAAAUAUGUCUUGAAGUGUUUUGCCAGUAUCUUAUUGCCCAGGAUGUAUGGUGAAAUUUGUGUUAACUUUCCACUUAUAAACAAGCAAAGUUGCUUCUUACAAGGUGAGACCAGCACAUUGUGUUUCAGUACUGUGGCAAAGUCGCAUCACUUCAUAUUGCAACUGAUAUAGUAUUUGCUUGUGUUGUUUUUGUCAUAGGUUCUGAUGAAAUAUAUGAUGGGGAUGUGAAACUGGUUGUUUAUUCAGCCACUUUUAUAGUUUUUGAUUGGUUAAGUAUUUUUCCUUUUGCUCUUACUCAUUCUUAAGAGUAUGAUUUUGCCAGUGUCCUUUGAAAGUGUCCACAUGUACUAACACUACACACAGUUGUCUGAGGAGCUGUAGAUGGUACUUAGUUCUUUGCAUCAUUUUGGCCAUAAUUGCAAUGCUCUCUACCUUUUACUUUUCAUCAUUCCCUUUGGUCUCAUGCUACAUAUCUACUCAAUUUAUGUAACUAACUUUGCUCUCACUUUGCUCUAAUUUUCACCUUUUAUUGAUGACCAAUCCUUCAAGGUGAGCCAUCCAAGUGGUCUUGUCAAACUAGUUUAUAAUGAUAUUAGUAAUCUCUGAGGAGAGUAUUCCUUCCUGUGCCACAAAUCUAGUGAAGUUUUGUGGUAACAAAUCACAACUGAAGUUCCCACUUGGAUGAACUGGACAGACCAACACACAUAUAAUCUCUCCUUCAAGUAGGUAGUUGUUUGACUUUAUUAGUUUGUUUUGAGCACAUGCAAGUUUGAAGUUUGUUUUGAACAAAUGCAAAAGUUUGAAGUUUGUUUUGAACAAUUGCAAAAUUUUGAAGUUUGUUUUGAACAUGCAAAAGUUUGAAAUUUGUAUUGAGCACAUGCAAAAGUUUGAAGUUUGUUUUGAGCAUGCAAAGGUUUGAAGUGUUUUUUUACACUCCAUGAAUACAGAAUUAUUUUUUAUAUAUACUGGUCCAUUCCUUCCAAUCCCCUAUGAUUGUUGUAGCAAUCCAAUAUGGAAUGAAAUGGCUUAUUUGUUGAGGAAAGAAGUCACACCAAGCUUACAAAGUAAUCCUGUGUUGAAAAGUCAGCAUUUAGCUCAAUUUCACCAUACGCCUUGGGCAUUAAGGUAUAAAAGUAAGGAUUUCCUUUAUGAAAUAAACAUAUUUUAUACUAUAUUUGAUAUUUAAAUUGUGCCAUUGUCACAGUAUGAGGCACAAAAUUAUUUUCAUCUUAUUAAGAAUAUUUUUAACAAUUUUUACUAAUACUUAUAAGGAAUGAAUUUUAUUUUUAUAACUGAUUAUAUAAUGGAUUAAAUAGUUGCCAAACCAUUGAGAAAAAUAUGUAUUUCAAAUUUUGUACAUUUUUCAAAUAUUUCAUGUACUGCAUGCCACUCUGUUACAUUAUUAAAAUAGGAAAUAUUAAAGAUUGCAUGUUACCUUAAACAUUCACAAUUUGUUUCUGGUGUUGUAUACUGUGUUAAAUACUUAAUGAACUGAAAGUUAGUCUUGUCACAUUAACAACAAUAUUUUGUCACUUAAUAAAUUUAAAAGCAUGAGGAGAUGUUGAUGAAAUAUCUACAAUGCCUUUUUUUUCUAAAUUUGUUUUGGUACAUGAAUUGCAAAAUUUACCAUUCCAUUUAUUAUUUGGGGUACUUAAAUUGCUUAAUGGCAUGCUGAUUAACAGCCUGGAGUCAAAUUUUAUGAAGUUAUUAAACAACAUCUCCAGUGAUGAGAGAUUCUCAUGUAAAAGUCCAAACUUGCAGAAAUUAUAGUAAUGUGCAAUGGUACCUAGAUAUUUCCAAUAUUUCAUGAAAUUCUGAUCCCCAAAAUUACCACCAAUGCUGUUAUUUAAAUCCAAAUUGAAACAUUUUUCACAUUUAUGAGUUGUAUGGAAAAAAAAAUCAAAACUUACCAAGUGCUGCUAUUACAAGCAGAAGUGUUAAACAGUUACACAAUUUCUAGCACUGAUUCUCAACACCAGUUUAUCCCUGUAGUUUGCCAACUCUGUAUAAGUUAUAUGAAUUAAGACAUUAUCAUAUAUGAAUUACUGCUCUGUAUUUAUUUAUAAUAUUCAACAACAUUCUUGCAAAGUACAACCUUUGCAAAUAAAAAAUCAAUGUACAUAUAUGCAUGUGUAAAGUAUUUUACAAAAUAUCAAAUAAUUACAAAUACAGCAGUGCUAGAAUCUCAAUAGUUAUCAUCAAAACUUCCUCAAACAUAUACAUCAUAUAAGUAUUUCCUACUAACUGCAAUACUCCCUUUCGUGUCUUUGCUCGAUCCCUGUACCUUAUUAAUCAAAUUGCUAUCAGUGCAUUCCUGACUUACCCAUUGUUUAUGCAUAAAUUCACCAUCUCGGUACACUUCUC